rnacentral:rRNA from 1 species
AACGAACGCUGGCGGCAUGCCUAACACAUGCAAGUCGAACGAGACCUUCGGGUCUAGUGGCGCACGGGUGCGUAACGCGUGGGAAUCUGCCCUUGGGUUCGGAAUAACAGUUAGAAAUGACUGCUAAUACCGGAUAAUGUCUUCGGACCAAAGAUUUAUCGCCCAGGGAUGAGCCCGCGUAGGAUUAGCUAGUUGGUGAGGUAAAGGCUCACCAAGGCGACGAUCCUUAGCUGGUCUGAGAGGAUGAUCAGCCACACUGGGACUGAGACACGGCCCAGACUCCUACGGGAGGCAGCAGUGGGGAAUAUUGGACAAUGGGCGAAAGCCUGAUCCAGCAAUGCCGCGUGAGUGAUGAAGGCCUUAGGGUUGUAAACUGCUUUUGUACGGAACGAAACGGUACCUUUCUAAUACAGGGGGCGUAAUGACGGUACCGUAAGAAUAAGCACCGGCUAACUACGUGCCAGCAGCCGCGGUAAU